rnacentral:rRNA from 1 species
UUGGAGGGCAAGUCUGGUGCCAGCAGCCGCGGUAAUUCCAGCUCCAAUAGCGUAUAUUAAAGUUGUUGCAGUUAAAAAGCUCGUAGUUGAAUUUCGGGAUCUGUCCAUUGGUCGGGCUUCACGGUCCGUACUGGUGAGGUGGGUUCCUACCUUCUGAAUAACCAGCAUGCCAUUUAGUUGGUGCGUUGGGGAAGCAGAGCUAUUACCUUGAAAAAAUUAGAGUGCUUAAAGCAGGCUAGUGCUUGAAUAGAUUAGCAUGGAAUAAUAAAAUAGGACGGCAUGGUUCUAUUUUGUUGGUUUCUAGGAUCACCGUAAUGAUUAAUAGGGAUAGUUGGGGGCAUUAGUAUUCAAUUGUCAGAGGUGAAAUUCUUGGAUUUAUUGAAGACUAACUUCUGCGAAAGCAUUUGCCAAGGAUGUUUUCAUUAAUCAAGAACGAAAGUUAGGGGAUCGAAGACGAUCAGAUACCGUCGUAGUCUUAACCAUAAACUAUGCCGACUAGGGAUCGGACGAUGUUAAUUUUUUAAUGACUCGUUCGGCGCC